AUUAGAUAUAAAAGAACGUUUUUUGCAUCUAUCCUACAAAUAACGGUAAAAAAAGAAUGCUGUGUCAGCUUUGUGUUUUUAUUGUUUAUUACUUGAGUAUGGUUGUACAAUCCCUUGUGUGUCAUUCUGUGUCAGAUUAUGCUAUUGAUUUCUGUAACAGAAUCUUUGUAGUAAUUUGUAACUGUGAUUUUAUUUGUACAUAAUGACACCUUUAUAUGUCAUAAUUGUAUUUAUGAAAUAUUCUAGUCAAUUCUCGAUACAUUCAUGCAUCAUGUUUCAUAUAAUUUUAACCGUCUAGUGGCUUUUUUCACAGGCGGAUAGCUUUAGUGAUGGUAUUUUUAUAGAAUAUUUUGAUACAUAGUCUUUUUCUUAGGGAUUGUCAUCUGUAGUAUUGUUUCCAUUACAAACCAACUUAAAAGUCCCAGAAAUUUCUACUUUUCAUUGAUAAGGCCAAAUUAAAAAAUAUGUUUCCUGUUACCAUUUGUUAAUAAUUAAAUGUGACCUUCAACAUUUUGGUUAAUCUUUCACUGUUUCUCUUAAGGGAAAAUUAAGAAUUUUAGGUUUUUUUUUGUAAAAAAAACAUAUUUCUUUUAAAAAAAUGCAAAUUAAAAUUUUAUUAGCAAUAAGCCUUAAUGUUCAUCCUAUUAUAACAGGAAACAUAUAUAUAUGUCAUAUUUUUAGCCUUGACACACACAAAAACCUCCAAACCUCACUUGAUAUUAAAGUCCCCUUAUGACUAAAGCAGCUUUUUUGCAUAAGGAUUACUCUUCUAUUUGAUAUUACUAAAACAUUCUUAGCACUUGCUUACUCAACAAAUAUCAUUCAUCUGCUAACAAACUUUACUUUUCAAAGAAAAUUGUAAUUGCCUUCUGGCGUUUACAUGUGUAUAAGUGCAUUAAACUAAGCUUAACUGUUAGUUUCAACUAAUUCUUGUGACAUUUCCGAUGAACCUCACUUUAUUGAUUUGACCAUUGUUCAUUUAAAUGAUUUUGCAAUUGAUAAACACUAUCAUUUUUGUUCUGGUCAUUCACAUCUUAAACAAACAGCUCCUAUAUAUGUCUACUAUUUGAACCAGAGACUGUUCAUUUUUACUUUCUCUUUUGGAGACCUUUUCGGAAACAUUGUUAAAGACAGAACAUGCAUACUAAAGCCAAUGGAAUCAUUAUGCGAAAUGUUUUUUUCAAAAUUACACUUUUUCAUUAAAUUUAACAUUUUAACAUGAUGCUUUUACAAAAAUUUGUCAAAAUUGUCAUUUCUGUCGAAGACAAAUAACAUAAAAAUAGAUAAACAAAAAUUGAACUUUCAAUUUGCUUCUGGUUGGAAUAUCCAAUUGCUUAAGUGAAAUCAAAUUUCAGGUAUUUUUAUUUGUAUUAAUUCAUAAUCAUUUAAUAUUUUAAAACAUUUUUCAUUAGAAAUUCUGUUUUCAGAUAUUGAAAUUCAGAAAUAAGUGGAAAAUAUAAGUUUAUUUAUUUAGUUUAAUUCCCAGGUAAAUAAUUAAUAUGAAAAUGGGACCAGUUUUAAAAUCAAGAUUUUAUUAAUGCACAAUAUAAUUAGUGUAAACAAUAUUUUAUUAUAAAUUAUACAAUUACAACAUAAAUUCACAUUUACAAAUAGGAUUCAGAAACAAGUAACAAGUGCAUAUGCUAAUCUGUCUCCUUGUAGUCUCUUUUAAUGAAGAAAGUGUUGAUACAAUAACAUUUGACAAUGAGUCUAUGAAAUAUUGUGACCAGGGGAUAUAAAUUAGCAAUAACUUUUAAUAGUUAGGACAUGAAAAUUGCAACUGUAUGACCUGAGGUAUAUUUUGUGUAUAUGCUUUGGUGUUAUGUAAUAUGCAGUAUAUAUUAUAUUGUUUUUAAAAUUUAAAAGCAAAAACAUUGUUUAAAACAUAAUAAAGAAACAGGACAAAAUGUGAGGCUCAGAACACUUUUCUCAUUUUAUUAUUUUUUCUAAAUUGUAAAGCAUUUUAACUUGACAUGGAAAUGAAAUUUUAAAGAAAUUGUAUAUUUAAGGAUAGAUUUGCAUAUGACUUAAUUAAUAAUGUCUAAUUGAAUUUCUAUACCAUUCUUAUUUUAUCACUUGUUCCUCAAAUCAUAAAUCAAGCAUUAUUUUCAAAUUGUGCAAUUUUGCAAUUGUUUUCCUCAUUGUUAUUAUUUAUUUAUUUGUUAAUUAUAUAACUAUAGUGAUUUUGCCUGCCAAAAUGAUGAGCUCAGUGCUAAGCAGUGUGUUUAUACUCUACAUGAGAUCACUGUGAACAAAUAAAAGUUAAAAAAUCUG
rnacentral:lncRNA from 1 species